rnacentral:pre_miRNA from 14 species
ACAUUCAUUUUUUUUUGGUUUACGCGUAUACUGUAUACACGUAAACCAAAAAAAAUAUUACACA